AUUGAACGCUGGCGGCAGGCUUAACACAUGCAAGUCGAGCGGGGUGAUGGUGCUUGCACUAUCACUUAGCGGCGGACGGGUGAGUAAUGCUUAGGAAUCUGCCUAUUAGUGGGGGACAACAUCUCGAAAGGGAUGCUAAUACCGCAUACGUCCUACGGGAGAAAGCAGGGGAUCACUUGUGACCUUGCGCUAAUAGAUGAGCCUAAGUCGGAUUAGCUAGUUGGUGGGGUAAAGGCCUACCAAGGCGACGAUCUGUAGCGGGUCUGAGAGGAUGAUCCGCCACACUGGGACUGAGACACGGCCCAGACUCCUACGGGAGGCAGCAGUGGGGAAUAUUGGACAAUGGGGGGAACCCUGAUCCAGCCAUGCCGCGUGUGUGAAGAAGGCCUUAUGGUUGUGAAGCACUUUAAGCGAGGAGGAGGCUCUUUUGGUUAAUACCCAAGAUGAAUGGACGUUACUCGCAGAAUAAGCACCGGCUAACUCUGUGCCAGCAGCCGCCGUAA
rnacentral:rRNA from 1 species